rfam:Gossypium hirsutum cultivar TM-1 scaffold6141.1_1, whole genome shotgun sequence
UAUUAAAAAUUUUAUUUAUCUGUACUAUUAAAAAUCAGCGUAAUUGACAAAAUAACUCAACAGUGACAUGUGGGAUGUCGCAUAUACCUCGUCCUAACAUACAAAGAUCAGUUUUUAACGGUAGAAAUGAAUGAAAUUUUUAACA